GGGCAGGUGGCGGAAUGGUAUACGCGAUGGACUCAAAAUCCAUUGAUGGCAACAUCAUGAGGGUUCGACUCCCUCUCUGCCCA
rnacentral:tRNA from 1 species